CGCGGUAUAGAAGGGCCGGCGGGGCAGUUGUGCCCUCAGUUGGGGCUCAGCUCAGUUCAGUGCCCAGCGGCUGGUGGAGUGUGGCGAGUUGUGCUUCCUGCCGGGCGGGAGCUGCCUUGGGAAGCUGCUCUGUACCCACGGCUGUGCCGAGCCCGGGAGUUCACACAGCAGGGUGUCGAGUGCCACCGUGUCCCUGAGGUCACCCUUUCUGCUGUUGGGAGAGCACGAGGUGGAUGGAGAGGAUCCCCAGGCAUCUGCAGGCCCAAGGGACUCGUACAGCUGUGAUUUUCCUACAGCCCUUGUAAGAUAGACUUUGAGGGUACCAUGGGUAAUGUGCCAGCUCUCCUGGUGGAGUUUUUGUCUUCUGCUGUAACUGAACAUAAAGAGAAAAACUAAAGUCAGGUCUGUUCUGGAGUGUUACACUUGUGCAGAGCUCCUUCCCUCUGUUUAUUUUCUGUUCUGGAAAGCACAGUCUGGGAUUCCUGGGCACUUCCUAUUAAAUGAUUCUCUGAAAAUAAUUUUGUACUGAAAGGGGAAAGGAGCUGUCUGUUUGAGGUCAGAUAUC